GUUGUGAUCAGGUUUAUAUUCCAGCACAGCAAUGGCAGAGCUCCUCCGAAACAUCAUAUUCAGGCGAUUAUCCUUCAUCAAAGUUAUGCAAUACAACAUCAAACAGUCAUAUUCCUUGGAGGGUCAGGUGGUCAUGGGACCUCACCUGGAUUUCACAACUGGCUUCAGAUGUGGUCUGAAAUUGAAGUAUGCUGAAGAUACCUUUCGCACUCUAAAAUUUAAGGUGCUUUUUGGGCAUUAGUUUGGAGACGGAAGAGGUCAAAAAAGCAGAGAAGACACAACCAGCAAGUAUGUACUUUUAUAAAUUAUCUUGAAUAGAUGACUGCCUAGUUUUGCAAGUAAUUUUAACUCGUUCUCCCUCUCUGAAACACUGCUUUUUACAUGUAUGAUGUCAGAAUAUUUUUUUAAUCACAGUUUUCUCAGUCGCUUUGGUGCAUUUUUCACAACACUAUUUACAUUUGCACAACAGGUAAUGCAUUUCUCAAAACAAUUAGUACGAACUACAAAACCUUGUUAACCUGCAUGUCACUUGCUCAAAAUGGAUAGCUCAUUCCUUAAAAGCAAGUCGGCUAUUGAUGUCAAUGAAAGUGUCAGUGUCAUCAAGAUGAAAAGUCCUGACCCCAUUGUUUUAUGAAUAAGAUAGUCAGAGGGCUUUGUCAUGUUUUCAUUAUGUCAGUUUACUCUGUACAUUUUUUCCCAAUGCAAAAAAGUCAGAUUUUGGUGACACUUCCGGAAAACGCUCAAGACAGCACUACUAUUUGCACGGCCAUUCGAAAACUACAGUAAAGUUAAACAUCACUGCAUUUAGUGAGGUAUCGGAGUA